rnacentral:rRNA from 1 species
UACGUAGGCAGCAAGCGUUGUUCGGAGUUACUGGGCGUAAAGGGUGUGUAGGCGGCUUCGUAAGUUCGGUGUGAAAUCUCCCGGCUCAACUGGGAGGGUGCGCCGAAAACUGCGAAGCUGGAGCGCAGGAGAGGAAAGCAGAAUUCCUGGUGUAGCGGUGAAAUGCGUAGAUAUCAGGAGGAAUACCGGUGGUGAAGGCGGCUUUCUGGACUGCUGCUGACGCUGAUACACGAAAGCGUGGGGAGCAAACAGG